rnacentral:rRNA from 1 species
AUUGAACGCUGGCGGCAUGCUUUACACAUGCAAGUCGAACGGUAACAGGCCUUCGGGUGCUGACGAGUGGCGAACGGGUGAGUAAUGCAUCGGAACGUACCCAGAGGUGGGGGAUAACGCAGCGAAAGCUGUGCUAAUACCGCAUGUGAUCUGAGGAUGAAAGCGGGGGACCGAGCAGCAAUGUUUGGCCUCGCGCCUUUGGAGCGGCCGAUGUCGGAUUAGCUAGUUGGUGGGGUAAAGGCCUACCAAGGCGAGGAUCCGCAGCCGGUCUGAGAGGACGACCACCCACCCUGGGACUGAGACACGCCCCAGGCUCCUACGGGAGGCCGCAGUGGCGAAUUGUGGACAAAGGUCGCAAGCCUGAUCCAGCGAUGCCGCGUGCGGGCAGAAGGCCUUCGGGUUGUAAACCGCUUUUGGCAGGAACGAAACGGUGUCCCCUAAUACCGGGCGUUAAUGACGGUACCUGCAGAAUAAGCACCGGCUAACUACGUG